rnacentral:rRNA from 1 species
CCUACGGGUGGCUGCAGUGAGGAAUAUUGGUCAAUGGGAGAGAUCCUGAACCAGCCAAGCCGCGUGAGGGAAGACGGCCCUAUGGGUUGUAAACCUCUUUUGUCGGAGAACAAAACCCGGGACGUGUCCCGGACUGCGUGUAUCCGAAGAAAAAGCAUCGGCUAACUCCGUGCCAGCAGCCGCGGUAAUACGGAGGAUGCGAGCGUUAUCCGGAUUUAUUGGGUUUAAAGGGUGCGUAGGCGGUCCGUUAAGUCAGCGGUAAAAUUGCGGGGCUCAACUUCGGAAUUGCCUCUGAUACUGUUCGGCUAGAGAGUAGUUGCGGUAGGCGGAAUGUAUGGUGUAGCGGUGAAAUGCUUAGAGAUCAUACAGAACACCGAUUGCGAAGGCAGCUUACCAAGCUACUUCUGACGUUGAGGCACGAAAGCGUGGGGAGCAAACAGGAUUAGAUACCCCGGUAGUC